rnacentral:rRNA from 1 species
AGAGUUUGAUCCUGGCUCAGGACUAACGCUGACGGCGUGCCUAAUCUAUGCAAGUCAAGGGUAUUUAUACCCUGGCAGACGAGUGAGUAACACGUAGGAAUCAACCUUUAACUCGACCAUAACCCAUCGAAAGAUGGACUAAUAGUCGAUAGUCUCUCUGUGUAAAAACGGAAGAGUAAAGUUUUAACGGUUAAAGACGAGCCUGCGUCCUAUCAGCUUGUUGGUAAGGUAAAAGCUUACCAAGGCUAUGACGGGUAGGGGGUGUGAGAGCAUGACCCCCCACGAUGGCACUGAGAUACGGGCCAUACAUCUACGGAUGGCAGCAAGUAGGAAUAUUGCGCAAUGGACAAAAGUCUGACGCAGCGACGCCGUGUGUAGGAAGAAGCAUUUCGGUGUGUAAACUAACGUCAAAAAGGGGCGGCUAACUUCGUGCCAGCAGCAGCGGUAAUACGAGGGCCCCAAGCGUUGUCCGGUUUUAUUGGGCGUAAAGAGUUCUGUAGGCGGUAUUGUAAGUUAUGGGUUAAAUUCUCCGGCUCAACCGGAGGCUCGCUCGUAAUACUGCAGUACUAGAGAUAGACAAGGGAGGGUGGAAUGCAUGGUGUAGUGGUGGAAUACGUUGAUAUCAUGCAGAACACCGAAGGCGUAGGCAACCCUCUAGGUCUUAUCUGACGCUGAUAGACGAAAGCGUGGGGAGCGAAACGGAUUAGAUACCCGUGUAGCCCACGCCGUAAACGAUGUUCACUCGGUCCGUGUUUUCGAUUUAUCGAUUAUGCGAGCCUCAGCUAACGCAAUAAGUGAACCGCCUGGGAAGUACGGCCGCAAGGCUAAAACUCAAAGGAAUUGGCGGGGACCCGCACAAGCGGUGGAGCGCCUGCUUUAAUUCGAUGAUAAGCGAAGAACCUUACCGAGGUUUGACAUACUCCUGCAUCCUUGUGGAAACACAGGGGGUCCUUCGAGGGUGGAGUACAGGUAUUGCAUGGCUGUUGUCAGCUCGUGUCGUGAGAUGUACCGUUAAGUCGGGUAACGAGCGCAACCCUUACUGUUAGUUGUAUCACUCUAGCGGAACUGCCCGGGCAACCGGGAGGAAGGUGAGGAUGACAACAAGUCGGCAUGGUCCUUAUACCUCGGGCAAGACAGGCGCUACAAUGGCCAGUACAACGGGUCGCGACAUGGUAACAUGAAGCUAAUCUCUAAAAACUGGUCUCAGUUCGAAUUGUGGGCUGAAAUUCGCCCACAUGAAGUUGGAAUCGCUAGUAAUCGCCGGUCAGCUAUACGGCGGUGAAUACGUUCUCGGGUCUUGCACACACUGCCCGUCAGGUCAGCAGAGUUGGGAAUACCCGACGUCCCGUUUUUUAACGGGCCCAAGGUAGGCUCAAUGAUGAGGAUUAAGUCGUAACAAGGUA